rnacentral:rRNA from 1 species
CCCUUAGAUGUUCUGGGCUGCACGCGCGCUACACUGACGGAGGCAGCGAGCAUGUCCUUCGCCGAGAGGUGUGGGGAAUCUUGUGAGUCUCCGUCGUGCUGGGGAUAGAUGGUUGCAAUUGUCGAUCUUGAACGAGGAAUUCCUAGUAAGCGCGAGUCAUCAGCUCGCGCUGAUUACGUCCCUGCCCUUUGUACACACCGCCCGUCGCUACUACCGAUUGGAUGGUUUAGCGAGAGCCUUGGAUUGGAGCCCAGGUGGUCGGCAACGGCCGCUCGGGAUUCCGAGAAAUUGUUCCAGCUGACUCAUCUAGAGGAAGUAAAAGUCGUAACA